GAAAGAUGAGGCCUCAAGAAAGAGCAGAAGCAGUUCUCAAGUUUCAGAAGAAUUCUAUGAACACCAUUCUCCAGAAACUCCCAAUUUCAAUAAUCAUUCUACUUUCAUUUCUCCUCAGUUGAAUCAAUUUUUUGACUCCUGCCUCCCUAAUACAACAAAAGGCUGUCAGAGGGUUCUACUUUACAGUUCCAUGAAACAUGGCAUAUCACUUAGGACACUUGUUCGCAACAGUGCUAAACUUUCUGGUCCUGCUUUGCUGAUUGUUGGAGAUACAAAAGGAGCAGUGUUUGGUGGGCUGGUAGAUUGUCCCUUGCAAC
rnacentral:sRNA from 1 species